AAAAAAAAGGAAUCGAAAUAUUGGUAAGUUAAAUUUUAAAUAUUUGAAAUUAUAUAUGUAUAUGCAUGUAUGUAUGUAUAUAGGUGAAAUAAACUAUGAAUGUUAAAAUCAUUCGAAGCGUCCAAACUUAUUUACAGUUAUUUUUGUCUCUUUUAUUCUUCUAUUCACACUUUUCAUGUUUUUUUAUUUUUUUUUUAUAAUUAAAAAGUACUAAAAAGAUUAAACAACACAAAGAUUUUUGCAACAAAUCAAAAUAAUAAAAAAUCAUUCGUCGGAAGACAAUAUAUUCAUAUAUACAUGCAUACAUAAACAUCCCUAAUACAUACUUAAGCAUAUUACUAUUUCUACAGGUUGUUUAAAGAUAAUGCUUUUUUUCAGUAAAAUGGCUUAGAUAUUAUAUUUUAAUCAAAUUUAAUUUAUGUAGUUAUCUUUAUUUAUUUUGGGUGAAUAUUGAAUACUUAGAUUUGUAAGUAUUUUAAAUUAAUUUUAUGUGUAUAAUAUACUCAUCGUCAAAUUUUAUAAUAUUUAAAAUUAUAUGAAUACAAAACGAUGCACUACUGUUUGCGAUGUGCUACUUGAAUUAAACCAGGUUAGUUCUGGGAGCGUGAAAGAGCUAUUUAUUGAACCAAAGGGAAAAUGAAUAAGAAUGAAAAAUUGCAAUCUAGAGUCUCAGAUGCAGAGUGUAAAAAAAGGAACAACAGACGAUGUAUCAGAUAAUGCUAUUUUUCCUAAAUUAGAGUAUCAAAUAGACUAUACUUAACAAAAUGAUAUGGAAAACGUUUCACCUCAAGAAGCAAAAAAUAUUUGCACUGAGCUUAAAUACAUACGGGAUUGGGAUGAAUUAAUACCAAAAUGGAAAAAAACUACAAAGUCCAAAAAUAAAAUAUGUUUCAGCAACAGGAAUCUGGAACAAAUUUUGGUGGAAUGACUAUUUAGAUACUUAAAAGCACCUGAGCUGAUUGAUAAUCUCUAUAUAUAAGGUUGAUAAGAUAGAAUUACUCACACUAUUCCGGCAUAAUAACUUUUAUUUUGAUUUAUGGAACAGUUUUUGUAAAGUUGCAGUGGAAAUUUUACAAUAAAGAUUAAAGAUGCUGCAAAUAAAACUUAUUAAAAAUAUUUAAAGAAAAAAUAGUAUGAUGGAUUCAGACAUGAUACAUCUUUGUAAUAUGAAGUUUCUAUUUGAAUUUUAUUACCGUCUACCAAGGUAAUCAAUGGAAAACGGACAAAAUAUACUAUUCAUGAUUCCCAAUGAUCAUUUACAUUACCAACAAUUUGGAAAGUCAAGUGAAUAGUGUCUUAAACGAAUUAACUGAUCAACAUUAUCAAAAUAAAUCGACUUUGCAACCAUUCAUUUUGAUUACCGGAGAAGAAUUUCGCUACCAAAAAUUCUAAAUUGUUCUGGCAGAUGCAAAAUUUCAAUUUAAUACUUAGAAACUAUUCAA